AGCUCAGACUAACCUUGAACUCUCUACCCGCCUGUCUCAGAUCCCAGAGUGCCAGCCUGCACCUGGCUGUGUUCUCAGCAACUGUCAUGUGAGCCUCGGGAACCAUUCCUAACUCCCCUGAGCCCAGAUGAGGGAAGUUAAGGAAAGCGAACAAAUCUUUCAGUAGGAGCUGAUAAGAGUGUGGGAUGGGGGCCCCAAGGCAGGCACUCGGCUGAAAUCUUGGUCCUUUCUCAUGGCUGAGGACCUUCCCUCUCCAAGCUUCUAUUUUCUCAGCUAUAAGUAGAGAGAGUGCAGUUGAGUGCCAAAAGGGCCCAGCAGGUCCUGUGCAUCUCUGGGCUGACACUGGAGCUGCCUCUACACAGUGAAGAGGAACUUUGUGGCCUUGCACAUACACAGACUUGGAGAGUGAGCCCGCCACUCCGCUUACGCCCCUGCUAACGGGAAGAAGUGCCGUGGAUAUCCCAAGUCCUUCCUGUUUCUACGACAAAAUACCUUGCCAGAAAAGCAGCUGAGAGGACAGAGGGCUCAUUUCCGCUCACCAUUCCAGGAGUAGAAACCCUGAUUAAGACACACACCUGUCACAUGGCGAUCCUCACAGCAGUAGAAGGAGCCCAGCGUACUCUGCCUGAGGGCAGAACCACAGAAACGACCUUGCUACACUCUGAUCUCAGACUUCCAGACUCCCUGGUUGAGCCGCUGGCUUCUAUGCUUGGUGAGCAGCACAGACUGACUGACGGAGACAAGUCAGGUCCUCCCUUCUGCCGUGCUGCUGUGAGGUGAAAUACGUACGUGACUCUCUCCAGGACUAAUCAAUGCUUAAUAAACUUUAAUUAAUGCAAGGU